CUUGGGAUUGUGGAUGGCAGUCCUCAAGAAAGACCCUAACAAAUAUCCAGGAUGUCACCCGUUCCAUUCGUUUGCUUGGUUGGUUUAGUGACCAUCGUUGCGUCCAAAGCCCAUGAUGGCCGCCAGGAUCAUCACCAGAGCUGUGGCCGGGACGAGGUCUGGAACGAUUGUGGAUCGGCAUGCCCAUACAUCUGCGGUGCUAAGCUCCAGGCAUGCACUAAGGAUUGCGUGCCACGCUGCGAGUGUAGGAGGGGCUUUGUUUGGUAUGGCACAGAAGACGGACUCUGCAUCCCUCGUCGAUUGUGCCACAGAAUCAUAAGCGGAAGUUAGAAUCAAAUAUUACCCAUGAUGUUUUUUGAUUGA